rnacentral:rRNA from 1 species
AAGUCGUAACAAGGUUUCCGUAGGUGAACCUGCGGAAGGAUCAUUACAGAGAACAUGCCCUCUAGGGUAGAUCUCCCACCCUAUGUUUACUUUACCUUUGUUGCUUUGGCGGGCCCGUCCUAGGACUACCGGCUCCAGCUGGUCAGCGCCCGCCAGAGGACCCUAAACUCUAAAUUUUAGUGUUGUCUGAGUACUAGAUAAAUUUAAAACUUUCAACAACGGAUCUCUUGGUUCUGGCAUCGAUGAAGAACGCAGCGAAAUGCGAUAAGUAAUGUGAAUUGCAGAAUUCAGUGAAUCAUCGAAUCUUUGAACGCACAUUGCACCCUCUGGUAUUCCAGGGGGUAUGCCUGUUCGAGCGUCAUUACAACCCUCAAGCUCUGCUUGGUAUUGGGUGCAUCACUAUGAUUCCUCCUAAAGUAAGUGGCGGUGCCAUCUAGCUUCCAGUGUAGUAAUCAUCUCGCUGUGGAGAUCUAGGUGCGUGCUAGCCAGGAACCCCUCAUUUUAUAAGGUUGACCUCGGAUCAGGUAGGGAUACCCGCUGAACAUAAGCAUAUCAAUAAGCGGAGGAAAAGAAACCAACAGGGAUUGCCUUAGUAACGGCGAGUGAAGCGGCAACAGCUCAAAUUUGAAAUCUGGCCUUCUGGUCCGAGUUGUAAUUUGUAGAGGAUGCUUCGAACGUGGUCCGGUCUAAGUUCCUUGGAACAGGACGUCAUAGAGGGUGAGAAUCCCGUAUGCGACUGGGUGCCUAAGUUCAUGUGAAGCUCCUUCGACGAGUCGAGUUGUUUGGGAAUGCAGCUCAAAAUGGGUGGUAUAUUUCAUCUAAAGCUAAAUACUGGCCAGAGACCGAUAGCGCACAAGUAGAGUGAUCGAAAGAUGAAAAGCACUUUGGAAAGAGAGUCAAACAGUACGUGAAAUUGUUGAAAGGGAAGCGCUUGCAACCAGACUUGCAUGCAGUUGAUCAUCCGAUGUUCUCACCGGUGCACUCGAUUGCGUUCAGGCCAGCAUCGGUUUCAGUGGUUGGAUAAAGGCCUUGGGAAUGUAGCUUCUCUUGGGGAGUGUUAUAGCCCUUGGUGCAAUGCAGCCUACUAGGACCGAGGACCGCGCUUCGGCUAGGAUGCUGGCGUAAUGGUUGUAAGCGACC